AUGCUCCGGCCAUGGCGGCGUCUGUAUGGUGGGGGCCACCAUCGGACCAGCACAGCCCAGGCCGCGACCUCCAUCGUGUCCGCGGCCGGCAUGCUCAUUGCCACGUGCGCCACCAACACGCCCUCCACCAGCCUUCUGCUUCUUGAGCGCUUCCUCCUUUGUGGUCAUAGCUUUGAUGUGACAUUUUUGCCGCGUCGCCGAGUUGAUCUUUCAGGCAAACAUGAUGGUAAGAUCCUCCAGCACCACCACCUCCAUCUCCGGCAGAUUCUCCUCUGGUUUCAUGCGUCAGCGUCGGGAGGAAAGAAGAGAGUGGGAGAAAAAGGCGGGAAUUGGGUAGAGAGCGGUGGGAUGAAAGAGGAGAGGGGAAAUUUUGUCACAAAAAUAAUACGGGCAGCUACAAAGGCAUGGGGCUCCGCUUCCUUUUGGGUGGGCCAAUCGUCUGACGUGUCUCCUGUUCAGUUUGGUUUUAAUUUGCGGGAAUAUCAUGGUCUGGACUACUACGUAGACUGA
rnacentral:rRNA from 1 species